rnacentral:rRNA from 1 species
GAUGAACGCUGGCGGCGUGCCUAAUACAUGCAAGUCGAGCGAACAGACGAGGAGCUUGCUCCUCUGACGUUAGCGGCGGACGGGUGAGUAACACGUGGAUAACCUACCUAUAAGACUGGGAUAACUUCGGGAAACCGGAGCUAAUACCGGAUAACAUGUUGAACCGCAUGGUUCAACAGUGAAAGACGGUCUUGCCGUCACCUAUAGAUGGAUCCGCGCCGCAUUAGCUAGUUGGUAAGGUAACGGCUUACCAAGGCAACGAUGCGUAGCCGACCUGAGAGGGUGAUCGGCCACACUGGAACUGAGACACGGUCCAGACUCCUACGGGAGGCAGCAGUAGGGAAUCUUCCGCAAUGGGCGAAAGCCUGACGGAGCAACGCCGCGUGAGUGAUGAAGGUCUUCGGAUCGUAAAACUCUGUUAUUAGGGAAGAACAAAUGUGUAAGUAACUAUGCACGUCUUGACGGUACCUAAUCAGAAAGCCACGGCUAACUACGUG